rnacentral:rRNA from 1 species
UACGGAGGGAGCUAGCGUUGUUCGGAAUUACUGGGCGUAAAGCGCACGUAGGCGGCUUUGUAAGUUAGAGGUGAAAGCCCGGGGCUCAACUCCGGAACUGCCUUUAAGACUGCAUCGCUUGAAUCCAGGAGAGGUGAGUGGAAUUCCGAGUGUAGAGGUGAAAUUCGUAGAUAUUCGGAAGAACACCAGUGGCGAAGGCGACUCACUGGCUCAUUACUGACGCUGAGGCUCGAAAGCGUGGGGAGCAAACAGG